UACGAGCGGCCCAAACGUUAUUCGGAUUUACUGGGCUUAAAGAGUCCGUAGGCGGCGCAGAAAGUGGGGUGUGAAAGCCCUCGGCUCAACCGAGGAAUUGCGCUCCAAACUCCUGUGCUUGAGGAAUCUAGAGGUGAGCGGAACUGAUGGUGGAGCGGUGAAAUGCGUUGAUAUCAUCAGGAACACCGGAGGCGAAGGCGGCUCACUGGGGAUUUUCUGACGCUGAGGGACGAAAGCCAGGGGAGCGAACGGG
rnacentral:rRNA from 1 species